rnacentral:rRNA from 1 species
AGAGGUCUCAAGCGUUGUUCGGAUUCAUUUGGGCGUAAAGGGUGCGUAGGCGGCGCGGUAAGUCGGGUGUGAAAUCUCCGGAGCUUAACUCCGAAACUGCAUUUCGAUACUGCCGUGCUUGAGGACUGGAGAGGAGACUGGAAUUUACGGUGUAAGCGGUGAAAUGCGUAGAUAUCGUAAGGAAGACCAGUGGCGAAGGCGGUCUCUGGACAGUUCCUGACGUGAGGCACGAAGGUCAGGGAGCAAACGGG